UCAGACAGCAUAAAGUGUGUGAGCACGCAUCCUCACAUUUGUCCGUGCCCGUAACCUGGGCUUUUUUUAGUAGCAGUUGUAAUCUGAAGAACACACAGGACAACGGUGCUGUACAGUAAACUUGGCUGAACUUGUCUGAGCAUGAGCCUUUUGCGAACCAUUGUCCCGCACUUAGCCCAUUUCAUAAAUCUGGGCUCUCCAGAAGAAAAAUUCCAGCACCUGUUGGUCCUCAUCUCCAAGGAAACUGUAGCUGCUCCCCUUUGUGGACUCCAUGGUGUGUCUCAUCACACAAAGUGUAACAGCAGAACUCCUUCACAAGCAGGUUAAGCAGCAUCUUUGAAUGUAUUCUUUCAGCAAACGUUCAUCUUAAACAGCAAAACUUUAUUAUAUGCACAGCAUUCUGUUAAAAACCAGAAAAUAAUUUUUAAAAAACUGGUUUCUGACAAAAAAUUAAGGUUUAUUUUAUUCUGUUUCUCUCUUCUUUUUUUUUUCUUUAACAGUUUUCCACUUAUUUUCAUCAAUUUGAGGAGACAACUUAGGACUGUUAGGAAUGGCCAAAUGAAAAGCAAAUGCAUUUAUUUCCAAGGUUUGUCUUACACCUAGAGUAUUGAAUCUUGACAAGAAGACAGAAAAAACGGUUUUAAAGUGUUCAUUUUUUCUGUUUAUAGACUGCAUAGGAGUUGCACCCUCACCCUCAUGCUGUAGAACAUGCUGCUGCAGCUGUACUGAAGCAUUUCCCUGACACGAAUACCAGAACUCCCUUUAAAUCAGAACAGAUCCAACAGGCCAUUGGGCCAGAGGCUGCACCAUCAGCAUGAGAAGAGCCGCCAUCGGGGAGCGCUAUGAAAGCAAGACCUCUUGUGACUUCAGACCAAGCCUUUGUGAGAGUUCAGGGGAUCUGAGAUGGCUGACACAUUCACACGGACAUCCAUCCGGCUCCUGCUGACCAACCAAACCACCAAAACGCUCUCAAUCAUGUCCCUGGAGACAACGUCACAAAUGUGAGACAGUGGAUCUGUGCAGACGCCUCAGCCACAAGACAUACAGGGACAUCUAUCAAGAGUUUAUCAUCCGAGACCUUUCAAACGUCAUGAUGAUGAGCAGUGGUUCCUGUAAAAAUGAAAAAAAUUAAAUAGAUAUGAAAUACGCA